rnacentral:rRNA from 1 species
ACGCUCGACACCUACGGGAGGCAGCAGUGAGGAAUAUUGGUCAAUGGACGCAAGUCUGAACCAGCCAUGCCGCGUGCAGGAUGACGGCUCUAUGAGUUGUAAACUGCUUUUGUACGAGGGUAAACGCAGAUACGUGUAUCUGUCUGAAAGUAUCGUACGAAUAAGGAUCGGCUAGCUCCGUGCCAACNGCCGCGGUAAUCUGAGCGGGCUGGCAAGGC